AUUGAACGCUGGCGGCAAGCCUAACACAUGCAAGUCGAACGAGUGGCGGACGGGUGAGUAAUGUCUGGGAAACUGCCUGAUGGAGGGGGAUAACUACUGGAAACGGUAGCUAAUACCGCAUACCAUCGGAUGUGCCCAGAUGGGAUUAGCUAGUAGGUGGGGUAAAGGCUCACCUAGGCGACGAUCCCUAGCUGGUCUGAGAGGAUGACCAGCCACACUGGAAACGAAGCACGGUCCAGAUCCCUACGGGAGGCAGCAGUGGGGAAUAUUGAACAAUGGGCGCAAGCCUGAGGCAGCCAGGCCGCGUGUAUGAAGAAGGCCUUCGGGUCGUAAAGUACUUUCAGCGGGGAGACGUUACCCUCAGAAGAGGCACCGGCUAACUCCGUGCCAGCAGCCGCGGUAAUUC
rnacentral:rRNA from 1 species